UAGUUUUGUUCUAAGUCAAACUUCUCUGACUUUGACCAAGUUUAUAGAAAAAAUAUAUUAACAUCUACAAUACCAAAUAAAUACACUAGCAAGAGAUUUCAUGAUGGAUUUAAAGAAGGUAAUCUGAUGUUAUAGAUGUUGAUGUAUUUGUCUAUAAACUUGGUCAAAGUUAGAGAAGUUUGACUUAGGACAAAAGUAA
rfam:Setaria italica strain Yugu1 chromosome IX, whole genome shotgun sequence.